AAUAGAUGCUUUCAGGAUUAUAACGUUGAAACUUAUAUAUCGGUUGGCAUGAAUGCAGUAAAAUGUCCUAGUGUUUGAUUUGAUUAUAUAAGUGGAGUUGUACCUGUUGGUUUGUCCCAUUAUAAGGACACUAGCUUCUUAAAUGGACAAAUUGCGUCUAGCAAUAAUGAGAUUGAGCAAUAACAGGUCUGUGAUGCCCUUAGAUGUCCUGGGCUGCACGCGCGCUACAAUGAAAGUAUCAACGUGUAUUUCCUAGACCGAGAGGU
rnacentral:ncRNA from 1 species